UCCGGUUUGUCACCGGCAGUCUGAAGUGAGUCCCCAACUUAAUGCUGGCAACACUUCACGGGGGUUGCGCUCGUUGCGGGACUUAACCCAACAUCUCACGACACGAGCUGACGACAGCCAUGCAGCAUCUGUGAGGCACCCUCGAAGGUCACACGUUUCCGUGCGCUUGCAGCCCCAUGUCAAGCCCUGGUAAGGUUCUUCGCGUUGCAUCGAAUUAAGCCAUAUGCUCCACCGCUUGUGCGGGCCCCCGCCAAUUCCUUUGAGUUUUAAUCUUGCGAUCGUAGUUCCCAGGCGGUUCACUUAAUGCGUUAGCUGCGGCACCGAAUCAAAGACCCGACACCUAGUGAACAUCGUUUAUGGCCAAGACUAC
rnacentral:misc_RNA from 1 species